ensembl:lncRNA
UUUUUUGUUUAUUUUUGGGUUAUUUUGGGGUGAUUUUCGGGUGAUUUUUGGUUUAUUUUUGUGGUUCUUUUGUCUGAUUUUGGGGUGAUUUUGUCUGAUUUUGGGGUGAUUUUGUCUGAUUUUGGCUCUCCUCUCCCAGGCCCGCGGGGUCCGGUGCCCCAUGUCCGGCCGGAAGCUGCGCCUGGCCGAGCUGGUCAGUGUCCACUUCACUCCGGCCGAGCGCGGCCUGAGCCCGGGGCAGCUGCUGGCCCGAGAGCCGAGUGACCGCUACGUGUGCGCGCUGACCGGCGACCCGCUGGGCAACGCCACGCCCUGCGCCGUGCUCCGGCCAUCGUGAGUGACCUUUGACCCCUGAGUGACCACUGAGUGACCACUGAGUGACCACUGAGUGACCGCUACGUGUGCGCGCUGACCGGCGACCCGCUGGGCAACGCCACGCCCCACUCUGUGUCCCCCCCCAGGGGGUCAGUGGUCACUCUGGCCGCUGUCCGGCGGUUGGUGCUCCCGGCCAUGAGGGACCCCCUGAGUGACCCUGAGUGACCAUUGGCCGUGUGCCCGGGGUCAGUGGUCACUCAGUGGUCACUCAGUGGUCACUCUGGUCACUCCCAGGGGGUCAGUGGUCACUCUGGCCGCUGUCCGGCGGUUGGUGCUCCCGGCCAUGCGGGAUCCCCUGAGUGACACCGCGCUGAGCGACGGAGACGUCAUCGAGCUGCAGAGGGGCGGGACCGGCUUCGCCGGGGCCGGAGUUUCCCUGGAGGCCAAAAAAUCCCGUCCGGUGAUGCAGGCCUAGGGGGGACCCCAAAAUCCCCCCUGGGACCCCAAAAUCCCCCCCAAAACCCCAAAUUCCCGUUCAUCCCCCCCAAAUUCCCGUUCAUCCCCCCCAAAACCCCUUUCAUUCCACCCAAAACCCCUUUAAUCCCCCCCAAAAUCCCAUUAAAAAUCCCAUUAAUCCCCCCCAAAAUCCCAUUGAUCCCCCCCAAAAUCCCAUUGAUUCCCCCCAAAUUCCCUUUAAUUCCACCCAAACCCCCUUUAAUUCUACCCAAAAUCCCAUUAACCCGCCCCAAAAUCCCGUUAAUUCCCCCCCAAAACCCUUUAAUUCCACCCAAAAUCCCAUUAAUCCCCCCCAAAUUCUCAUUAAUCCCCCCCAAAAUCCCAUUAAAAAUCCCAUUAAUCCCCCCCAAAAUCCCAUUAAUCCCCCUCAAAUUCCCAUUAAUCCCCCCCAAACCCCACUUCCCCAUCCAAAUAAACUCGUUUCACCCCAAAAUUUCUUUUUUUCCGCUCCUUGAACCCCCAAAACCUUUUGGGGCGCCCCAAAAACCUUUUGGGGUUUGUGGCUCCAUCGCCCUUUUAAUUCCCCCCCCCGUGGGCCCCACCCGCGCAUCGCCGCUUUAAGCCACGCCCCCUCCCGCGCCUCAACCAAUCAGCGCUCAGCACACGGCAUCGCUUUAUUUGCAUAGUGGGCGCGGCCUCAGCGGGCGUCACCCAAUCAGCUUUGGAGAAAAAUAAAGGGGCGGGGCCUCCGCGAAGCCACGCCCAUCUCUGGUAAAAAGGGGCGGAGCCAAAUUCGGGGCUGUCAGUCAAAGCCCGACUAGCCACGCCCCCUUUAAAAGGCCACGCCCCCUUUUUGGGGGGGGGGAAAUCCCCAAAAUUUCUGUGCGGGGGGGGGGGGGGAGGGACCCCCCCAAAAUAAGACACUCGGUGGGGGAGGGGCAACCCCCAAAUUUUGGGGGAUCCCAACACUCGAACCCCCCAAAUUUUGGGGAA